UUGCUGUGAUGACUUAGCUUAGGACACCUUUGGAAUAGCCGUGAAAAAAAAACCCACACGAAUUCUGAGCAAC